GCGCAUGCCUGAAAACUUGCAUCCUAAGCUACGCACGGGGAACGUCGUUUCGCCAUCACUGCUUAGGGGAAAGUCCCCGGACACUGGGCAGAGAUGUCCUGCAUACAGCGCAGAUCAGUGGCUUGCAUUGCGUAUUCAUGCUAAGACGUCCACGUGACUGAGCAGAGCGCUUAGCAAGCCAUGUUUGUCAAUAAGAUAGUUACGCAAGUGUCGUACACUCGUACUUCUACAGAACGGGGCUCAUUCUCAGCAUACG
ensembl:ribozyme RNase_MRP RNase MRP